GACGAACGCUGGCGGCGUGCUUAACACAUGCAAGUCGAACGGAAAGGCCCUGCUUUUGUGGGGUGCUCGAGUGGCGAACGGGUGAGUAACACGUGAGUAACCUGCCCUUGACUUUGGGAUAACUUCAGGAAACUGGGGCUAAUACCGGAUAGGAGCUCCUGCUGCAUGGUGGGGGUUGGAAAGUUUCGGCGGUUGGGGAUGGACUCGCGGCUUAUCAGCUUGUUGGUGGGGUAGUGGCUUACCAAGGCUUUGACGGGUAGCCGGCCUGAGAGGGUGACCGGCCACAUUGGGACUGAGAUACGGCCCAGACUCCUACGGGAAGCAGCAGUGGGGAAUAUUGCACAAUGGGCGGAAGCCUGAUGCAGCAACGCCGCGGGCGGGAUGACGGCCUUCGGGUUGUAAACCGCUUUCGCCUGUGACGAAGCGUGAGUGACGGUAAUGGGUAAAGAAGCACCGGCUAACUACGUG
rnacentral:rRNA from 1 species